UACGUAGGGGGGCAAGCGUUGUCCGGAUUCAUUGGGCGUAAAGAGCUCGUAGGCGGCUUGAAAAGUCGGGUGUGAAAUCUCCAGGCUCAACCUGGAGCUGCCACUCGAAACUGACAUGGCUAGAGUCCGGUAGGGGACCACGGAAUUCCUGGUGUAGCGGUGAAAUGCGCAGAUAUCAGGAGGAACACCGGUGGCGAAGGCGGUGGUCUGGGCCGGAACUGACGCUGAUGAGCGAAAGCGUGGGUAGCGAACAGG
rnacentral:rRNA from 1 species